GGCGGCGUAGCUUAACACAUGCAAGUCGAACGGAGUAUUAAGAAUGAAGUUUCGGAUGGAUUUUUAGUACCUUAGUGGCGGACGGGUGAGUAACGACGUGGGUAACCUGCCUCACACAGGGGGAUAACAGUUGGAAACGACUGUUAAUACCGCAUAAGACCACAGUACCGCAUGGUACAGGGGUAAAAAACUCCGGUGGUGUGAGAUGGACCCGCGUCUGAUUAGUUAGUUGCGGGGUAACGGCCCACCAAGACGACGAUCAGUAGCCGAUCUGAGAGGAUGACCGGCCACAUUGGGACUGAGACACGGCCAAACUCCUACGGGAGGCAGCAGUGGGGAAUAUUGCACAAUGGGGGAAACCCUGAUGCCAGCGACGCCGCGUGAGUGAAGAAGUAUUUCGGUAUGUAAAGCUCUAUCAGCAGGGAAGAAAAUGACGGUACCUGAGUAAGAAGCCCCGGCUAACUACGUGCCAGCCGCGGC
rnacentral:rRNA from 1 species